rnacentral:rRNA from 1 species
UGGGGAAUAUUGGACAAUGGGCGAAAGCCUGAUCCAGCCAUGCCGCGUGUGUGAAGAAGGUCUUCGGAUUGUAAAGCACUUUAAGUUGGGAGGAAGGGCAGUAAGCGAAUACCUUGCUGUUUUGACGUUACCGACAGAAUAAGCACCGGCUAACUCUGUGCCAGCAGCCGCGGUAAUACAGAGGGUGCAAGCGUUAAUCGGAAUUACUGGGCGUAAAGCGCGCGUAGGUGGUUCGUUAAGUUGAAUGUGAAAGCCCCGGGCUCAACCUGGGAACUGCAUCCAAAACUGGCGAGCUAGAGUAGGGCAGAGGGUGGUUGAAUUUCCUGUGUAGCGGUGAAAUGCGUAGAUAUUGGAAGGAACACCAGUGGCGAAGGCGACCACCUGGGCUCAUACUGACACUGAGGUGCGAAAGCGUGGGGAGCAAACAGG